UUACUUUAUAAUUUUUCGAUCUAUCCAGAUGUUAGGUACCAUUGCUAAAUGAUCACUUUGAUUGGUAUAGAAAAAUUAUUCCUAUGCUAUCAACUUAGGUUUGAACCUAUGGGGUCACACUCAAAAGAAGUCUAACUGAUCAUAUGGCUGAUCGAAGAUUGAGAAUCAUUUCAAGAUAUAAUCAUCAAUUCGAUUGAUGAUUAACAUUGUACAAAAAUUAUAAUAAAUUUAAUUUGCUAAUAUUUAGUGAAUUAUAGGAGUAUUGAUUAGUAAUUAGAUUACUAAUUAGCUCAAUUUUAUGGAGCAUUGAGGUU
rnacentral:lncRNA from 1 species